UUCCGUCUGUAAUGGAAGCUGCUCAGAGCUUCACUCAAGGAUCUCGGUUGUUUCUCCAAAGCUUCCACAUUCAAUGCCUCUUAACAUUUUUACCUCGUUAGCUUUUUAAAAUGUAUUUUUUCAGUCAUUUUAAUACCCUGCUGCAAAACCAACCAGCCCGCCCUUCGGGGACAAAUGAAGUUGAAGCUGAGCUUCUGUGAGGCAGUGGGUGUGGCCCAGCACAGGAGAGAGAGGUGAUUGCUAGCACCUGGGACCUGUCGGUGUGUGUGUGUGUGAGGGGAGACAAAAGGACUGACACAUGGAUGAGUGUUUGCUGGAUUUCAGGAGGAGUGUAAAGUUUUUGUGCUGCCCAGGAUUAAGAGGACGUGCUUGUGGACAACAAGAGUUGGCGGAUUGUUAUUUAUUUUGCUAGAGUUUUAAAGUUUACUUCCUGGAUGAUCGUGCAGUUGUGAGAUCCUCUUAGACUGACUUUCAACACCUCAGCGCCCUCUUUAAACUCACAACUUCAAGACUCCCAUCUCACACAAGGUGGAGAGACGGCUUCUGAUGGAAGAGGAGGAGGCUGAAGAGAGACGAAGACAGAGGAGGAGGCUGAGACGGUUCUGGAUUUAGCUGCGGAGAGGAUUCAGUUAUUGCUUCUUGUCUUAAAAGAUCAGAGGGUUUACUUGUUCUAAUAAACCAGGAACACAAAGGG